GUUAACGACCAUGUAAGCCUCCAGUGGCUAUCAUAUAAGCAACCAAGGACUCGAACCUGAGACCACAGAGUGAGCAAAUCUCUUAGUUCCAAGUCUUUAUUAUUUGACCACCACCUAGAUUGUUAUAUUACAUCUCCUUU